UUGUGGAGGAGGACGCCGAAGGUGGGGCUAAUGACUGGGGUGAAGUCGUAACAAGGUAGCCGUACCGGAAGGUGCGGCUGGAUCACCUCCUAACAGGGAGACAACAAAAUGUUUAAUAUUAUUUUGUCACCUUAGGUCGAUCGAUAUCUCACGUUCUUAAUUAAUUAAGAAUUUCAUUUCCUAAGUUUUUCUAGGUCACACCCAUUAUUUUUCCUGGGCCAUUAGCUCAGGUGGUUAGAGCGCACCCCUGAUAAGGGUGAGGUCCCUGGUUCAAGUCCAGGAUGGCCCAUAUCUCUAUGUUGGGGGUAUAGCUCAGUUGGUAGAGCGCCUGCUUUGCAAGCAGGAUGUCAGCGGUUCGAGUCCGCUUACCUCCACUGAUUACCACCUCUUCCAUAAUCUAUAGAAAGGAAAUGUUUUGAGUUGUGAUCAAAUUCUGAACGAAUCUAGCUUCCUAAUGAAAGUAUUAAGAUGCUGGACUCAUUGAAUAAAUUCAUUGUUUUCAGAGAACCUUGACAACUGCAUAGAUUAUUUUUUAAAGACAAUAAGCAUCUUUAAUGAUGCAGAUUUAUUAUUUGUGCUAAUGCAUUAAUAACAAUUCUAUUAAGCUGAUGCUUCAAUUUUGAAGUUAUUGGUCAAGCUACAA
rnacentral:misc_RNA from 1 species